rnacentral:rRNA from 1 species
AGUGAACGCUGGCGGUAGGCCUAACACAUGCAAGUCGAACGGCAGCACAGUAAGAGCUUGCUCUUACGGGUGGCGCGUGGCGGACGGGUGCGGAAUACAUCGGAAUCUACUUUUUCGUGGGGGCUAACGUAGGGAAACUUACGCUAAUACCGCAUACGACCUACGGGUGAAAGCAGGGGAUCUUCGGACCUUGCGCGAGGGAAUGAGCCGAUGUCGGAUUAGAUAGUUGGCGGGGUAGAGGCCAACCAAGGCGACGAUCCGUAGCUGGUCUGAGAGGAUGAUCAGCCACCCUGGCACUGAGACACGGCCCAGACUCCUACGGGAGGCCGCAGUGGGGAAUAUUGCACAAUGGGCGCAAGCCUGAUCCAGCCAUACCGCGUGGGUGAAGAACGCGCUCGGGUUGGAAAGCCCUUUUGUUCGGAAAGAAAAGCAGCAGGUUAAUACCCCGCUGUUCUGACGGUACCCAAAGAAUAAGCACCGGCUAACUUCGUG